rnacentral:rRNA from 1 species
UGACCUCGGAUCAGUAGGGAUACCCGCUGAACUUAAGCAUAUCAUAAACCCGGAGGGA